rnacentral:rRNA from 1 species
UAGGUCGACCCGCUGAAUUUAAGCAUAUCAGUAAGCGGAGGAAAAGAAACUAACAAGGAUUUCCUUAGUAACGGCGAGUGAACAGGAAUUAGCCCAGGCCGAAUCCCAAAGGGAAACCUGCGGGAAAUGUAGCGUUUAGGCAUUCUUGUUAUACCGUUGAAGUUCUGUUCCCAAGUUCACUUGAUUGUGACUUGACCACAGAGGGUGAAAGUCCCGUGGGGAUCAGACUGAGAUGGUUAAAGAAUGCUCUAGAGUCGGGUUGCUUGUGAAUGCAGCCCUAAUAGGGUGGUAAACUCCAUCCAAGGCUAAAUAUAACACGAAACCGAUAGCAAACAAGUACCGUGAGGGAAAGUUGAAAAGGACUUUGAAGAGAGAGUCAAAAGUGCGUGAAAUCGCUCAGGGGUAAUCGGGUGGAACCGAAGGUGAAGCAAUAGAUUGUGCCAUUGCAUUAUUCUUGAGGUAUGGCUUACUGAUUUUAACAGUGGUCUUAUUAACAAGGCGGUAAUGGUAUAUGUCUAUGUUUCAGAACCAUGAACAACGUUAAUUAGCUCUUAUGUACAAGGCGAGGUAGCGGCGUUGCAUUAGUGAUGCUGUGUUAUAAGUCUGUGCUAUGAGUCUUUUUGAUGUUGUGCAAAGCAACGCAAGCCAUUUAGGCGUGCAAGCUGAUUUGUGCUAGUGUGUCUGAUGGAGACUCUUUAGAGAUUCUUGAUGUCACAUUGGUGCAAUAAAACGGCCUCUGCACUUUGUGUUCACAUUCAUGGUGUCAAAAGUAGGUCGUCCACCUGACCCGUCUUGAAACACGGACCAAGGAGUUUAGCAUGUACGCGAGUCAUUGGGAAGUACGAAACCUAAAGGCGCAGUGAAAGUAAAGGCUUGCUUUAGUAAGCUGAGGUGUGAUCCGUGCUUCGGUGCGGCGCAACACCGGCUCAUCCUUAGCUUUUUAAGCGGGGUGAAGCUAGAGCGUACAUGCUGAGACCCGAAAGAUGGUGAUCUAUGCUUGCAUAAGUUGAAGCCAGAGGAAACUCUGGUGGAGGACUGUAGCGGUUCUGACGUGCAAAUCGAUCGUCAAAUGUGAGUAUAGGGGCGAAAGACUAAUCGAACCAUCUAGUAGCUGGUUCCCUCCGAAGUUUCCCUCAGGAUAGCUGGCACUCGGGAAACAAAGUUUUAUCCGGUAAAGCGAAUGAUUAGAGGUAAUGGGGAUGAAACAUUCUCAACCUAUUCUCAAACUUUAAAUGGGUGAGAUGUUGGACUCGUUUAAUUAGAGUCUGACGUUGAAUUUGAGUGCCCAGUGGGCCAUUUUUGGUAAGCAGAACUGGCGCUGCGGGAUGAACCGAACGUGUGGUUACGGUGCCAAACACAACACUCAUGAGAUACCACAAAAGGUGUUGGUUGAUUUAGACAGCAGGACGGUGGCCAUGGAAGUCGGAAUCCGCUAAGGAGUGUGUAACAACUCACCUGCCGAAUCAACCAGCCCUGAAAAUGGAUGGCGCUGGAGUGUUGGACCUAUACCGCACUGUGAUCGUAGUUUGUGGAAACGAUCACAAGUAGGAGGGCGAAAUGGUGAGCGUUGAAGCUACAAGCGUAAGCUUGGGUGGAGCCGCCAUUUGUGCAGAUCUUGGUAGCAGUAGCAAUUAUUCAAGUGAGAAUCUUGAAGGCCGAUGUGGAGAAGGGUUCCAUGUGAACAGC